rnacentral:rRNA from 1 species
AUCAUGGCUCAGAUUGAACGCUGGCGGAAUGCUUUACACAUGCAAGUCGAACGGCAGCACGGACUUCGGUCUGGUGGCGAGUGGCGAACGGGUGAGUAACAUAUCGGAACGUAUCCAAUAAUGGGGGAUAACUAAUCGAAAGGUUGGCUAAUACCGCAUACGCCUACGGGGGAAAGCUAGGGACCUUCGGGCCUGGCGUUAAUGGAGCGGCCGAUAUCUGAUUAGCUAGUUGGUGAGGUAAAGGCUCACCAAGGCGACGAUCAGUAGCUGGUCUGAGAGGACGACCAGCCACACUGGAACUGAGACACGGUCCAGACUCCUACGGGAGGCAGCAGUGAGGAAUAUUGGUCAAUGGGCGCAAGCCUGAACCAGCCAUGCCGCGUGCAGGAAGACGGUCCUAUGGAUUGUAAACUGCUUUUAUUUGGGAAUAAACCUAUCUACGUGUAGAUAGCUGAAGGUACCAAAUGAAUAAGCACCGGCUAACUCCGUG